rnacentral:rRNA from 1 species
GAUGAACGCUGGCGGCGUGCCUAAUACAUGCAAGUCGAGCGAACAGACGAGGAGCUUGCUCCUUCGACGUUAGCGGCGGACGGGUGAGUAACACGUAGGUAACCUACCUAUAAGACUGGGAUAACUUCGGGAAACCGGAGCUAAUACCGGAUAAUAUUUCGAACCGCAUGGUUCGAUAGUGAAAGAUGGCUUUGCUAUCACUUAUAGAUGGACCUGCGCCGUAUUAGCUAGUUGGUAAGGUAACGGCUUACCAAGGCAACGAUACGUAGCCGACCUGAGAGGGUGGUCGGCCACACGGGAACUGAGACACGGUCCAGACUCCUACGGGAGGCAGCAGUAGGGAAUCGUCCGCAAUGGGCGAAAGCCUGACGGAGCAACGCCGCGUGAGUGAUGAAGGUCUUCGGAUCGUAAAACUCUGUUAUUAGGGAAGAACAAACGUGUAAGUAACUGUGCACGGCUUGACGGUACCUAAUCAGAAAGCCACGGCUAACUACGUG